rnacentral:lncRNA from 1 species
UAUUAAUAAAUAAAUACUCAAAAUUAUUAUUUUCUUAAAUAUGAGACCUUAGCCGACCACUUAAUUUGGCUAGUUCUAAAGCCACCCCCAACGAUAGUCAUGAUCAAUGUCCAUAGCUAGAGAAAUUCUAGAAUACAUCAGAGGUACCAUGUCAGCCAUACAACAAGCAAAUGAUGUUAUGUUAUGUAAUUUUGAAAAACUAUCAUGCAAGUGGUGGUUAUAUUAAAUUUAAUUAUAAAUGUCAUGCAUGCAUUAAUUAGUUGUAAUACAUCAGAGGUAUUUUAGAAUUUCUCCUAUAGCUGAGCUUGAACAAAUCAUGCCAGCACAAUUAACUGUAGAUCUAGAGACAAUUAAUGCUUAUUGCUUAAGCCAUGCACUGUUCGUGAAAUACAAGUAAGCAACCCAAGAGGGGGGGUGAAUUGGGAUUCUAAAAAAAUUAUUCAAUAAUAAAGAAAAUCUUAAUGCAAUUAUAACUCAAAUUCAAAGCAAUAAUAAUUAAGAUGAUCACAAUAUAAAAAGGUAAGGGAAGAGAGAUUCAAACACGAGAUUUUUACGUGGUUCGGCCAACCUCGCCUACGUCCACGCCUCCAAGCUUUCCGGGCUUGAGGAUUCCACUAAGCAAGCCUCCAAGGCUUCAAAUGCUUACACUUGACUUCCGAGGUGUCAAUGGACCUUUACAACAAGAGAUUAUCCCCAAUCUCUUAACCCAAGUGUAUCCCAACACUUACAAUCACUCAAAGUAAAAGAUUACAAAUUUGUUUUGCCUCUCACAAUAUACAAGAUAACUCAAUGAUGCUUAAUAUGUGAAUAGAUGAAGCAAGAAUGUGUUCUAAGCUCUAUGAAGAUUGUAUUCUCGAAUAUUAGCUCAAAUGGUUGUGUUGUGAUCAACCUUCUUUGAAUUUGAAUGAGCCUAUUUAUAUCUGGAGCUGAAAAUCUAGCCGUUACAAACUGUCGGGCAGAAAACGGUUCGCCGUUAACGAUAAACGGUUAACCGUUUCGCUUGUUCAAAGUUACCGUUGGACCAGAAUUCAAAUAAACGGUUUGCCGUUUAGGAUUGCCCUUUCGCCGUUAACUUCCAGAGACCUGCAAGAUCAGCAUUCGUUAUACGUUUACGCUAAACGGUUAAGGACUUGCGUGAGGUAACGUUUCUGGAUAUUAUCGGUUAACCGUUUGAACAAUAAUCGGUUAGCCGUUUGUCUCCAGUAACCUGCAAAAUGAACAUCAGUUAAUCAAUACCAGAGGCGGACAACCCUCAAUUCUGGACGUUAUCGGUUAACCGUUUAAAAAGAAACGGUUCACCGUUAGUUUCCAGUAGCCUUCCUAUCUUGGGUGUUUUCUGUUAAGCGUAAACGGCUAGAGCUUAGGCAAUAUGAUGCUCUCUGGUGAUAAUCGGUUAACCGUUUAAAAAUAAACGGUUCACCGUUAGUUUCCAGUAACCUUCCCAUCUUGGGUGUUUUCCGUUUUCCAUGAACGGUUAGAGGUUAAGGAAAUGUGUUACUCUCUGCCUUUAAUCGGUUAACCGUUUAAAAUAAACGGUUCACCGUUUAUGACCAGUAUUGCAAUUUUAAACAAGUUUUUGCAGAGAAUUUCUUUCUAAUUUGAAAUCCAUCUUUUAUGAAGAAAUAAGGCAAUGAUUAAAAGAGUUUUCGUUUAUUAAGAAAUAACUCCAUUAUUUUUGUCAAAAUACAUUUAAAAUUUGUUAUCAUCAAAAUCAAUAUUAUUAACAUAUUUAUGUUAACAGUUCGACUUGCCUUAUUUCUACAAUCAAGUCCCUAGUGAUGUAAUAGCUACGUCGUGCUACACUGCGUAAAUUAGUGGACAACAAGUACAUGACAGUUAAUUUCCAUUUGAGCCUGCGGCUGAAGCGGAUAAUAUGGGGCCAUUUGAUCAAUUUGUUAUAGAGAAAAUGAUGGGUUUAGGGAGUUAUUUUACAAGAUUUGGACCUAGUACUAAGUUGAUCUUGUGCUCAAUUCUUCAUAAUUUUCUGUUAGAUGUACAUGUAUAGUAAUAUACGGUUAAGAUUUAAUGAAUUUUAUAUUCUUAUCUAAAAACUACCAAUUGUAUUCUUCUAAAAGUUAAUAAAAAAUUUAACUUAACACCGAAUCUAAAUCCUAUUUUACAUAUUUAAAGUUAGGGUUGGCGUAUCAUACCGCUUAGGAUAAGGGUGUUGAGCUUUUUACUUAAACUAUGAUAGAGAAUUUUAAAUGUGCUUGAAAUGAAGAUGCACAGAGCCAAAAGAUCAUUUGGUUUCCGAUUUACUUGAGGAAUAGUAAAGUUGGUGAUUAGUGUUAAAAAUUGUAUGUUUAUUAUGGGGUAAACAUUUUAUUUUGUGCUUAUAAUAUAAUUUGCAUUUGUAAUUAUGUAAUAUAUUAUGAAUUAUGAAUUCUUUUUCUAAAUAUUUGAUUUUAUGUGUUUAUUAGGUAAAAACAAUAAUUUCACGCAAUUUGAGGGCCCAAACAAAUGUACGAAUGUCAAAUUUGGAUUCCAGAAGUCCGAGAAAUUAGGUCUUUGUCAAGGAGGAUCUGCGACUUUUAUUGUAAAUUUAUUAGUUUUUACCACGAUAUGGUAAUUGUGAAAUUAUAAGUUUUUAAUAUGUUAGGUGUUGUAAUUGUUAGUGGAAUGUGUUGGAUGUGAUUGGGUGUAUUAAGUUAGGUUUAUAUUUUGUUAGUGGGACAAAUGUAUGGCUAAGAUGUAAUUAGCUUUAUUUAUUUGUGUGGUGUGAAUUAAUCAUGUAUUAGUAUAAAUAGAGCAGGGUAACACACCUCUCCACAAUUUUUCUUCUCUUCUUUCCCCUCAAUUUCUUCUUCUCAUCUCUCUUUGUAAUAUAUUUUUAAUAAAUAAAAUUAGUUUUACUUUUAAUUUUCAAAUACAAUUUUUUUAAUUAUGUAUUUUUCAAAGAGCCAAGAAUCACACAAGAACUUAAGUGGUUCAGCACCUUGAGGGUGCCUACAUCCACUGGAGAAAACCAACACAGGGAGCAACUUUAUUGAGCUUCAAGGUUACAGAGAAAAUAAUGCACAAUAAAGAGACCACUCACAAAGCUUUGUUCUCACUAUAACUGCCUUAUCUCUCUCUCCUUGAAUCAAUCGAGACUACACCAGAACUAGCUUGAAUAUAUAUAUCAGUUUGCCAGGCGUAACAGAUUCAGAAUUUUCCCUCCAAAUCCAACAGCCUUAACCUCCUGUCACGAGCAACUCACGCGUCACUUAAAAGCUUUCCUUAAAUGACUGCUAGCAAUGCCGUUUAAGCUUAAACCAGGCGUGCAUUAGUCACGUGAGUUUUAAUGAUCUUGGAUGACAUUGUAAAAUUGUCAGCUCUGGAAUCUUGUUCAACUGAAAUGACAUGUCACUCGUAUUCACAACUUAAAAUCGACAAGUUGUACUAACGAGUUUGAGUUCAUUUCAACAAUCUCUACCUUGAACUCAACACUCCUAGCUCCCUCAUUUCAAGCUGUCUUCUCCUCAUCUGCAGCUUCUUAAAACCUGCAGAUACUUGCUAAGUUCAUGCAAAGGAUGAACUUGGCAGUUGGCACAACCUUGCUUAACAUGUCAGUUGGAUUUUCUUCAGUAUGAAUCUUCAGCAACUUUACAGCUCCCCUUGACACCUCAAGCCUCACGAAAUGCAAUUUAACAUCUAUAUGUUUUGUUUUCACAUGAUGGGAUUGAUUCUUGCUAAGAUGUAUAGCACUCUGACUGUCACUGUAUAUUGUUACAGACUCUUGUUUGGCUCCCAACUCAGUUAUCAUGCCUUUCAGCCAAAUUGCUUCUUUGAGAGCUUCUGCUGCUGCAGUAUACUCAGCCUCUGUUGUGGACAAAGCCACUACAUUCUGUAAUGUUGCUUUCUAGCUGACUGUGCAGCCUUCCAGAGUAAACAAAUACCUUGUUUGAGACCUCAUUUUAUUAAGAUCACAGGCAAAAUCAGCAUCCAUAUAACCAAUCAAUGUGUGUCCAUUUUUGUCUUCUCCACCAUAGACCAACCAACCUCCAGAGUCUCCUUCAGAUACCUCAUAAUCCAUUGAACAACUGUCCAGUGUUCAUAUCUGGGGUUUGCCAUAAACCUGCUCACCAAACUCACAACAUGUGAGAUAUCAGGUCUGGUGAGUACCAUGGCAUACAUGAGGCUACCUACUGUACUGGAGUAGGGUAUGCAAACCAUAGCUACACCUGUUGAAGACAUGUGUUAUCAUGAAGUUAUCAAACUUCAGAUACCAUUGCCUAGGUGAUUGCUUUAACCCAUACAGAGACUUUUUAAUUAAGCAAACACAAUCUUCUUUACCAGAUGUUAUAUACCCUUCAGGCUGCUGCAUUACAAUUUCCUCUUGUAAUUCACCAUGCAGGAAGGCUAUUUUUACAUCCAUAUGCUCAAGAUGCAUAUCUUGAACAACCACAAGUGCAAGAAUAAUUCUGAUGGAAGCAGGUCUCACUACAGGAGAAAAUACUUCAGUGAAGUCAAUUCCCUCCUUUUGUGUGAAGCCCCUUGCCACUAGUCUAGCCUUAAAUCUUCUAGGUUCAGCUCCAGGUAUACCAUCUUUAAUCUUGAAGAUCCAUUUACAGCUUACUGUUUUCCUCUUAGCUGGUUUUCAAUCAAUUCCCAAGUCUUGUUUUUCAUUAGGGAUGUCAUCUCUUCAUCCAUUGCCCUAUUCCAUUCCAGCUUGUUUUUGCCUGUGAUAGCUUCCUGAUAAGUCAUUGGUUCAUCAUCAUUCAGCUCUUGAGCAGAAGUCAAAGCAUAUGCAAUCAGAUCAGCCACUGCAUAUCUUUUAGGUGGUCUUAUUGUCCUUCUCUUUUUGUCUCUUGNNNNNNNNNNNNNNNNNNNNNNNNNNNNNNNNNNNNNNNNNNNNNNNNNNNNNNNNNNNNNNNNNNNNNNNNNNNNNNNNNNNNCUCAAGUUCUUUCAAGUUUUGAGGCUCCACCUGAAACUUCACUUUAUCAGUCUCAAUACUUGAUUCAGUAUUGUUAACAGGGCUCCUUGGUUUAUUCAAUAACUCUUCUUUAUGGAAUCUUACAUUCCUGCUUAUGAUGCACUAUGGUGGUUUUGAGUCAACACACCACAAUCUAUAGCCUUGACACCCUCUGGAUACCCCAGAAACCUGCAUUUUAAUGCUCUUAGUUCCAGCUUACCCUGCUUCACAUGAGCAUAUGCUGUGCAGUAAAAAAUUCUGAGUUUUGCAUAGUCAGCCAUUCUACCUGACCAAAGUUCCAUUGGUGUUUUACAAUCUAUAGCAGUUGAUGGGCUCCUGUUGACUAGGUAGCAUGCUGUGUUUAAAGCUUCUACCCAAAGGGUUUUUGGGAGCUUAGAAUAGAUUAGCAUGCACCUUACCUUCUCCACCAAAGUCUUGUUCAUUCUCUCAGCAAUGCCAUUUUGUUGAGGGGUAUAGGUGACAGUUUUGUGCCUUUGAAUACCAUUCUUUUCACAGAAUUCUUCAAACAACUUAUUGCAGUACUCCAAGCCAUUAUCUGUCCUCAGAGUUUACACCUUCAAACCAGUCUGGUUUUCAAUAAAAAUCUUUCAGUUUUUGAAUUUUUCCAGAACCUCAUAUUUACUUUUGAGUGCAAAGACCCAAACCAUCCUUGAAAAAUCAUCUAUAAAAGUCAGAAAAUAUCUACACCCACCUAGUGAAUUCACUUGUGCAGACCCCCACAAAUCAGAGUGUAUGUAUCCUAGUUUCUCUUUGGUGGUGUGAGCUGCAGUCUCAAACCUUAACUUGGAAGACUUUCCUAGAAUACAAUCUUCACAGAACCCCGAAGCUUCUAUCUGAUCAUUCCCAAACACUCAUUGUUUUUGUAACUCUCUCAAACCUCUCUCACUCAUAUGCCCUAUCCUCAAAUGCCACAACAUUGAUCUGUUCCCUCCACUGUCAGUUACACUUGCCUCCCUAACAGCAGUAUGUCCAUCCAUCACAUACAUGCCAUUUUGUUUUAAACCUUUCAUUAUCACCAUUGAGCCUUUAAUCACCCUCAAUUCAGCCUUAAUAACACAACCUGUUUGAUCUAGUAUGCCAAUUGAAAUUAAGUUAAUUUUUAGUUUAGGAACAAACCUCGCUUGUGUCAAUUCCCUUACCACACCAUCAAACAUUCUAAGGCUAACAGUCCCAAUACCAACCACCUUACACAUUGAGUUAUUACCCAUUUAAACUAUACCCCCAUCACAUGGCUGAUAUGUAGUAAAAUAGCUUCUAUUUGGACACAUAUGAAAGGUACAACCUGAGUCAAGAACCCACUAACCUUGAGGUUUCUGACUUGUGGCAAUGAGUACUCCAGCUGUUUCAAAGCUACAUUAUUUUUCUGUGGCUAUGGCUGCAUUUCCAGUUCUUUCAUUGGUUUCUUUAUUCUUGUUCUUCCUUUUAGGGCAAUCUCUUUUAAAAUACCCUUCUUUAUGACAGUGGAAACACUUCAAAUUUCUCUAUUUAGACUUUGAUCUGCCUUUUUUCUUUCCCUUGCUUUCUCUUUUCUUAGGUCUGCCUCUAGCCAUCAGUCCCUCACUUGAUUCACUUUCUGGAUUAUCUUACUUAUCUUUCAGCUUCUUGGUGCCAAGAGCAGAUUUGACCUCUUCCAGGGAGAGUGUUUGCCUCCCAUACAAUAAUGUAUCCACAAAGUGGUUGUAUGACUUUGGUAAAGAGCUGAUUAGUAGCAAAGCUUUGCUCUCAUCACUCAGUCCUUCAUUAAUAAUCUCCAGUUCAUCACAAACCUUAUUGAACUCAUCUAUAUGCUCAUUUAAUGAUGCCUCUUCAAUCAUCUUCAGUGAGAACAUCUUCCUUUUUAUGUAAAGUCUAUUUGCCAAAGACUUUGUCAUAUAUAGAUUCUCCAACUUAGCCCAUAAACCAGCAACAAUUCUUUCUUUAGCCACUUCUCGAAUUACAGAGUCACCAAGACUCAGAAUGAUUGUGCUUCUGCCUUUCUUGUCAAUCUCUGCUACUUAUUCUAGGGUCUUAGAUGAUGAAGCCUCCCCUUCUUCAAGCUUAGAGACUAGAUCUAUGGCUUCUCCCAGCCCUUGAGUAAUCAACAAAGCCUCCAUCUUGAUCUUCCACAUAUUGAAAUCAUUCUGCCCCGUAAACUUCUCAAGAUCCACUUUUGAACUCAUUCUUAAACCUUGAAAUCAGAGUUAAGGCUCUGAUACCAAUUGUUGUGAAAUUAAUCCUUUGAUUGCUAGAUUAAUCACACCCCAAGACCCAACUCAGACUCAAAGACUCAAGAAUCAAAACCUAAGCUAAACAAGAACAACGAUCACAUCAAAGAACAACACCAAAGAACCAAGAAUCACACAAGAACUUAAGUGGUUCAGCACCUUGAGGGUGCCUACAUCCACUGGAGAAAACCAACACAGGGAGCAACUUUAUUGAGCUUCAAGGUUACAGAGAAAAUAAUGCACAAUAAAGAGACCACUCACAAAGCUUUGCUCUCACUAUAACUGCCUUAUCUCUCUCUCCUUGAAUCAAUCGAGACUACACCAGAACUAGCUUGAAUAUAUAUAUUAGUUUGCCAGGCGUAACAGAUUCAGAAUUUUCCCUCCAAAUCCAACAGCCUUAACCUCCUGUCACGAGCAACUCACGCGUCACUUAAAAGCUUUCCUUAAACGACUGCUAGCAAUGCCGUUUAAGCUUAAACCAGGCGUGCAUUAGUCACGUGAGUUUUAAUGAUCUUGGAUGACAUUGUAAAAUUGUCAGCUCUGGAAUCUCGUUCAACUGAAAUGACAUGUCACUCGUAUUCACAACUUAAAAUCGACAAGUUGUACUAACGAGUUUGAGUUCAUUUCAAUAAUCUUCUAAGGUUAAUGUUAUUUUUCUAUACAACAUUGUAUUUACAAAACCUUAAUAGGAUUAUGGCAGUAAACUGAGCAAGAAAAAUGCUUUAUCUUGAUAUCUAAUUUUCACAUUUUCGACCCCUUCAAGAUGAAUGUUGAUCUUGUUGAAAGUAUCAAUGUGUUAUUGGAUAGACACAUCUUCUUUCAUUGAAAAAUAUAAAGUUGUUUCUUUAAGAAAAGCCUGUAAACCAAGGACUUCUUCAUGCACAGUGCCUCUACCUUAUUCCAUAUCCUUAGAGCGAUCUUUUCUUCAAAGACUUCUCGUAAGAUUAAGUCACUAAGACUUAAAAUCAAGGUAAUAUGGGCUCUGUUCUAGAUCUGCUUUUUUUUUUUUUGAUCAGGCAUGGAACUUGUAGCUCUAUUAGGAUCUUCUUUUCCUAGAGCAAAUUCAUGGCCCUGAUAAAUGCGCAGAGCCCUUUUCUCCAUCUUCCAGAGUGAGAAAUCACCACUAAUGGUUAAUUUCUCGAUUUCUGGCUGUAGAAGUGAUAUACCCAAGAAUUACCAAAGGUCUGAUACCACUUGUUGUAAUUUGUAGUGGCUAAUAACAAGAACUGAUUUAGUACUUCAAUCUUUAAUCAAUCAAGAUUGAUUUGAAAUCAAGAUUGCUAAUGAAUAGAGUCAAGAACGGAAAAAAAAAUUGGAUUGCAAAGAACAAACUACUAGAUGAGAAGAAAACAUUCACACUGUUUUAUUAAUCAAAACUGAGUACAAAAAAAUUACAUCUAAAGAAGAGAUUACAACAAUCAAUGUAAAGAAGAAUCAUUCUAAUCGGACAAGAAAUGAAUAAUAUAUAAGAUUACUUCUUAUUAGCUUGCCGCUACUUUUCUAUUCAAUCCACACACUAGCCCAGAAUCCCCCAACUUGCUCAAAAGACGUAAUUUAUUGCCUCAAGUCUUUUUGGCCACCCAAUUUGAGAAAUUGUUUCUUCUUUUUAUGAUGCUUCCUAUCCAAAAGGAGCCUGUCAUUAGGAACUUGUAUUUGUUUAAUUUAGAACAUCUCAAGACCAUUACAAUAGAAAGAUAGAAAAAGAAAAGUUGAAACUGACAACAUUGAUUAAAAUUCCUACUUGUUAUUCUUAGUAAUAACCACAUCUAGAUCUUGAAUUUGUAGGAGUCAACAUGAUGAAGCCUAUAUUUUGCAUCAUUAAAUGAUUAAUCUUAUUGUUAUCUCUUCUUUCACUAUUGUCUUAUCAAAAACAAUUUCUUACCAUACUAACUGCAUAAAAAUUAACAAACUAACAUAUUAUCAUUUUUAAGUCAUCAAUCAAGUAUAAAUAUUAUAUUAUUUAGUUAUAUAACAAGCAUAAAGAAAUAUCUAAAUUU